AAUUUUCCUAUUUACUCUUCUUCUCUCAUACGCUUUCUUCACCGCCGCUCAUCAAGAUUUUCAAAUUAAUCUUCAGAACAAGGGUUUUCUCCAGAAACCCCUUUCUCUUAUCCAUCCAUCUGCGACAUACAUUCAAUCCUUCAUUCGUCUUCAAUAAGCAGUGUCUCCUCCACUGUCGCAGAUUACAAAAAUUGCCGUCCAUUUCUUCUGUCAGAGCAUUCAGGUUCUGCUGCGAACCCACCUGAAGAUGUAGAACGUUGGUUAUGUGGCGAUUAGGGUUUUACUGUGAACCCGAUGAUGGUGAUGAUCAGAUGUUAUCGGGGUGCUUUUUCUUUUCUUCCAUCUGUGGGUUAACUGUAGCUUCAGUCAUAGUUUGGAGCUUUGAAUUGGAGUUUUGAGCUUAAGAUGGGUAAUGCGUUUGUGGUUCCUAGGUAAUUAUUGGGUAAUUAAAGAUGGUAAUUAUAGGGUGCUUUUUCUUUUCUUCCAUCUGUGGGUUAACCGUAGCUUCAGUCAUAGUUUGGAGAUUUAAAACUUCAAUUUCAUACAUUUGUAUUGAUAUAUGCUACAAGUGCAGUGCAAAAAAAAGCAUACGCCAUUAAAUCAUUUACAUAGAGCAAAGGCUUGGUUUUCAGUUUCCAAUUGGUCAAGACCUCAAUUAGCUCUGUAUUGAACCUAUUUGUAUGUCAAAUAUGACAUGGUGUUCCGAUUUCAUUCGCCCUCAGGUGUGUUUCUCCGACUCUUUUAUCUACUAUCUGAAUUGGUUUCUCAUUCAUUGUUUGUUGUUGUUUGUUUUUGCUUAGUUAUAUUAUACAUAUGAAUUAUGAAAGCUCAUAAACAGUUCUACCUCAUGAUUGAUAGACGCAUAUAAGAAGGUUUACUUUGAAUCCAUGCCAUUAUUAGUAUCUCAAUAUUCAGUUGGUGCUAGCAUCGAAUGGAAAUCAAAACCAACAAAUCCAAUUCUUGGUCAAGGAUCCAAGUGAUUUUUCCACAAUGUUGUACUUGACGAGGGCAUAAUUUCUUACAAAAGCAACUUACUAUCUUCUUUACUUAUCUCAUGGGGCAUCUAAGAGACGACUCCACAAAGGUCAGUAAACAAGAAAAUAAAAUGCAGACAUGAUAGCGGAAGUAAUUUUGAUAAUGAGGAUCUCAAUGAGAGUAGAGUGGAAGCCAUGGGAGAUAUUGUCUUUUUGUUGAGUGUUUACCUUACAUUAUGACAUUUAGGUUCUUCAAAUCACCUCAUAAUACUACUACGUUGAGAAAAAAAAAUAUGUAUGAUUUUCACAAAAUGAUGGCUUUUAAAACUUGAACUCACAUUCUUAGAGACUAAUCUCUACAUGUAAUUUUCUUUUUCGAAAUGAUUUUUUCGUUUUAACCAAAA